AAGUCAUAGUUAUUCAAGACACAGGUAAAGUCAUAGUUAUUCAAGACACAGGUAAAUUCAUAGUUAUUCAAGAUACAGGUAAAGUCAUAGUUAUUCAAGAUACAGGUCAAGUCAUAGUUAUUCAAGAUACAGGUCAAGUCAUAGUUAUUCAAGAUACAGGUAAAGUCAUAGUUAUUCAAGAUACAUGUAAAGUCAUAGUUAUUCAAGACACAGGUAAAGUCAUAGUUAUUCAAGAUACAGGUCAAGUCAUAGUUAUUCAAGAUACAGGUCAAGUCAUAGUUAUUCAAGAUACAGGUCAAGUCAUUCAAGAUACAGGUAUAGUCAUAGUUAUUAAAGAUACAGGUUAAGUACUUUACUAAUGAUAAUUAUUGAAGAUAAAAGUGAAAUACUAAUACCAAUGAUAGUUAACCUAAGUACAUAAAUAGUUCUACAAACAUUACAUUUUUAAAAAUGUGUAGCCAUACAUGAUUAAAUAGUCUACUUCACACUAAAUAAAUCUGU